GGUUAAGCGACUAAGCGUACACGGUGGAUGCCCUGGCAGUCAGAGGCGAUGAAGGACGUGCUAAUCUGCGAUAAGCGUCGGUAAGGUGAUAUGAACCGUUAUAACCGGCGAUUUCCGAAUGGGGAAACCCAGUGUGAUUCGUCACACUAUCAUUAACUGAAUCCAUAGGUUAAUGAGGCGAACCGGGGGAACUGAAACAUCUAAGUACCCCGAGGAAAAGAAAUCAACCGAGAUUCCCCCAGUAGCGGCGAGCGAACGGGGAGGAGCCCAGAGCCUGAAUCAGUGUGUGUGUUAGUGGAAGCGUCUGGAAAGGCGCGCGAUACAGGGUGACAGCCCCGUACACAAAAAUGCACAUGCUGUGAGCUCGAUGAGUAGGGCGGGACACGUGGUAUCCUGUCUGAAUAUGGGGGGACCAUCCUCCAAGGCUAAAUACUCCUGACUGACCGAUAGUGAACCAGUACCGUGAGGGAAAGGCGAAAAGAACCCCGGCGAGGGGAGUGAAAAAGAACCUGAAACCGUGUACGUACAAGCAGUGGGAGCACGCUUAGGCGUGUGACUGCGUACCUUUUGUAUAAUGGGUCAGCGACUUAUAUUCUGUAGCAAGGUUAACCGAAUAGGGGAGCCGAAGGGAAACCGAGUCUUAACUGGGCGUUAAGUUGCAGGGUAUAGACCCGAAACCCGGUGAUCUAGCCAUGGGCAGGUUGAAGGUUGGGUAACACUAACUGGAGGACCGAACCGACUAAUGUUGAAAAAUUAGCGGAUGACUUGUGGCUGGGGGUGAAAGGCCAAUCAAACCGGGAGAUAGCUGGUUCUCCCCGAAAGCUAUUUAGGUAGCGCCUCGUGAAUUCAUCUCCGGGGGUAGAGCACUGUUUCGGCAAGGGGGUCAUCCCGACUUACCAACCCGAUGCAAACUGCGAAUACCGGAGAAUGUUAUCACGGGAGACACACGGCGGGUGCUAACGUCCGUCGUGAAGAGGGAAACAACCCAGACCGCCAGCUAAGGUCCCAAAGUCAUGGUUAAGUGGGAAACGAUGUGGGAAGGCCCAGACAGCCAGGAUGUUGGCUUAGAAGCAGCCAUCAUUUAAAGAAAGCGUAAUAGCUCACUGGUCGAGUCGGCCUGCGCGGAAGAUGUAACGGGGCUAAACCAUGCACCGAAGCUGCGGCAGCGACACUAUGUGUUGUUGGGUAGGGGAGCGUUCUGUAAGCCUGUGAAGGUGUACUGUGAGGUAUGCUGGAGGUAUCAGAAGUGCGAAUGCUGACAUAAGUAACGAUAAAGCGGGUGAAAAGCCCGCUCGCCGGAAGACCAAGGGUUCCUGUCCAACGUUAAUCGGGGCAGGGUGAGUCGACCCCUAAGGCGAGGCCGAAAGGCGUAGUCGAUGGGAAACAGGUUAAUAUUCCUGUACUUGGUGUUACUGCGAAGGGGGGACGGAGAAGGCUAUGUUGGCCGGGCGACGGUUGUCCCGGUUUAAGCGUGUAGGCUGGUUUUCCAGGCAAAUCCGGAAAAUCAAGGCUGAGGCGUGAUGACGAGGCACUACGGUGCUGAAGCAACAAAUGCCCUGCUUCCAGGAAAAGCCUCUAAGCAUCAGGUAACAUCAAAUCGUACCCCAAACCGACACAGGUGGUCAGGUAGAGAAUACCAAGGCGCUUGAGAGAACUCGGGUGAAGGAACUAGGCAAAAUGGUGCCGUAACUUCGGGAGAAGGCACGCUGAUAUGUAGGUGAAGUCCCUCGCGGAUGGAGCUGAAAUCAGUCGAAGAUACCAGCUGGCUGCAACUGUUUAUUAAAAACACAGCACUGUGCAAACACGAAAGUGGACGUAUACGGUGUGACGCCUGCCCGGUGCCGGAAGGUUAAUUGAUGGGGUUAGCGCAAGCGAAGCUCUUGAUCGAAGCCCCGGUAAACGGCGGCCGUAACUAUAACGGUCCUAAGGUAGCGAAAUUCCUUGUCGGGUAAGUUCCGACCUGCACGAAUGGCGUAAUGAUGGCCAGGCUGUCUCCACCCGAGACUCAGUGAAAUUGAACUCGCUGUGAAGAUGCAGUGUACCCGCGGCAAGACGGAAAGACCCCGUGAACCUUUACUAUAGCUUGACACUGAACAUUGAGCCUUGAUGUGUAGGAUAGGUGGGAGGCUUUGAAGUGUGGACGCCAGUCUGCAUGGAGCCGACCUUGAAAUACCACCCUUUAAUGUUUGAUGUUCUAACGUUGACCCGUGAUCCGGGUUGCGGACAGUGUCUGGUGGGUAGUUUGACUGGGGCGGUCUCCUCCUAAAGAGUAACGGAGGAGCACGAAGGUUGGCUAAUCCUGGUCGGACAUCAGGAGGUUAGUGCAAUGGCAUAAGCCAGCUUGACUGCGAGCGUGACGGCGCGAGCAGGUGCGAAAGCAGGUCAUAGUGAUCCGGUGGUUCUGAAUGGAAGGGCCAUCGCUCAACGGAUAAAAGGUACUCCGGGGAUAACAGGCUGAUACCGCCCAAGAGUUCAUAUCGACGGCGGUGUUUGGCACCUCGAUGUCGGCUCAUCACAUCCUGGGGCUGAAGUAGGUCCCAAGGGUAUGGCUGUUCGCCAUUUAAAGUGGUACGCGAGCUGGGUUUAGAACGUCGUGAGACAGUUCGGUCCCUAUCUGCCGUGGGCGCUGGAGAACUGAGGGAGGCUGCUCCUAGUACGAGAGGACCGGAGUGGACGCAUCACUGGUGUUCGGGUUGUCAUGCCAAUGGCACUGCCCGGUAGCUAAAUGCGGAAGAGAUAAGUGCUGAAAGCAUCUAAGCACGAAACUUGCCCCGAGAUGAGUUCUCCCUGACUCCUUGAGAGUCCUGAAGGAACGUUGAAGACGACGACGUUGAUAGGCCGGGUGUGUAAGCGCAGCGAUGCGUUGAGCUAACCGGUACUAAUGAACCGUGAGGCUUAACCUU
rnacentral:rRNA from 1 species